rnacentral:rRNA from 1 species
UACGGUAGGCAGCGAGCGUUGUUCGGAGUUACUGGGCGUAAAGGGUGUGUAGGCGGUUUCUAAGUUUGGUGUGAAAUCUCCCGGCUCAACCGGGGAGGUGCGCCGAAAACUGGGAGACUAGAGUGCGGGAUGGGAGAGUAGAAUUCCGUGGUGUAGCGGUGAAAUGCGUAGAUAUCAGGAGGAAUACCGGUGGUGGUAGACGGCUCUCUGGACCGCCACUGACGCUGAGACGACGAAAGCGUGGGUAGCAAACAGG